UACGAAGGGUGCAAGCGUUGCUCGGAAUCAUUGGGCGUAAAGCGCACGUAGGCGGCUUGCCAAGUCGGACGUGAAAUCCCUCAGCUCAACUGAGGACGUGCAUCCGAAACUGGCGAGCUUGAGUACUGAAGAGGAUCGCGGAAUUCCCGGUGUAGAGGUGAAAUGCGUAGAUAUCGGGAGGAACACCCGUGGCGAAGGCGGCCAGCUGGGAUACACCUGACGCUGAGACACGAAGGCGUGGGGAGCGAACGGG
rnacentral:rRNA from 1 species